UACAGAGGGGCAAGCGUUAUUCGGAAUUAUUGGGCGUAAAGAGCUCGUAGGCGGUUUGUCGCGUCUGCUGUGAAAACUCGGGGCUUAACUCCGGGCCUGCAGUGGGUACGGGCAGACUAGAGUGCGGUAGGGGGAGACUGGAAUUCCUGGUGUAGCGGUGAAAUGCGCAGAUAUCAGGAGGAACACCGAUGGCGAAGGCAAUCCCCUGGACCUGUACGUGACGCUCAUGCACGAAAGCGUGGGGAGCAAACAGGGAUUAGACU
rnacentral:rRNA from 1 species